UGUACACACCGCCCGUCACACCAUGGAAGCUGGUCACGCCCGAAGUCAUUACCUCAACCGCAAGGAGGGGGAUGCCUAGGGCAGGGCUAGUGACUGGGGUGAAGUCGUAACAAGGUAGCCGUACCGGAAGGUGUGGCUGGAUCACCUCCUUA
rnacentral:rRNA from 1 species